UGGGGAAUAUUGCGCAAUGGGCGAAAGCCUGACGCAGCGACGCCGCGUGAGGGAUGAAGGUUUUCGGAUCGUAAACCUCUGUCAGAAGGGAAGAAACCGCACUGUGCUAAUCAGCAGUGCCUUGACGGUACCCUCAAAGGAAGCACCGGCUAACUCCGUGCCAGCAGCCGCGGUAAUACGGAGGGUGCAAGCGUUAAUCGGAAUUACUGGGCGUAAAGCGCACGUAGGCUGCUUUGUAAGUCAGGGGUGAAAUCCCACGGCUCAACCGUGGAACUGCCUUUGAUACUGCUUAGCUUGAAUCCGGGAGAGGGUGGCGGAAUUCCAGGUGUAGGAGUGAAAUCCGUAGAUAUCUGGAGGAACAUCAGUGGCGAAGGCGGCACCUGGACCGGUAUUGACGCUGAGGUGCGAAAGCGUGGGGAGCAAACAGG
rnacentral:rRNA from 1 species